UAACGUAGGGAAACUUACGCUAAUACCGCAUACGACCUACGGGUGAAAGUGGGGGACCUUAGGGCCUCACGCAGAAAGAUGAGCCGACGACCGAUUAGCUAGUUGGUGGGGUAAAGGCUCACCAAGGCGACGAUCGGUAGCUGGUCUGAGAGGAUGAUCAGCCACACUGGGACUGAGACACGGCCCAGACUCCUACGGGAGGCAGCAGUGGGGAAUAUUGGACAAUGGGCGCAAGCCUGAUCCAGCCAUGCCGCGUGUGUGAAGAAGGCCUUCGGGUUGUAAAGCACUUUUGUUCGGAAAGAAAUCUUCCAGCUUAAUACGUUGGGAGGAUGACGGUACCGGAAGAAUAAGCACCGGCUAACUUCGUGCCAGCAGCCGCGGUAAUACGAAGGGUGCAAGCGUUACUCGGAAUUACUGGGCGUAAAGCGUGCGUAGGCGGUUUGUUAAGUCUGAUGUGAAAUCCCCGGGCUCAACCUGGGACGUGCAUUGGAAACUGGCGAUCUAGAGUACGGUAGAGGGUGGUGGAAUUCCCGGUGUAGCAGUGAAAUGCGUAGAGAUCGGGAGGAACACUCGUGGCGAAGGCGGCCACCUGGACCAGUACUGACGCUGAGGCACGAAAGCGUGGGGAGCAAACAGGAUUAGAUACCCU
rnacentral:rRNA from 1 species